CUUUCUUUCUGAGGUUUUUAUCUGCUCUACAUAAAAUCCCAUUCACAGGAUUCCAGCACUACUGCUUGGCCUGAGUUCAUUUAUAUGAGGAGCCAUCAGAUCUUGCCCUCUCUGCUAAAAGCCUUUGUCACUUGACAGUUCCUCAGUAGGUACUACCCCGCAGCGUUCAGUCAUGGAGGAGCACCAAGAGAGAAUGAGUAGAUGAGCAGCAGAAAGGAUUGAAAUGAUAAUGCUUAAUCCCCUGACAAGCUGUGAAGAGAGUCAUCAAUUCACGCUGUCAUUGCUAUUAAUUCCUGAAUUGUGUGAUCAAUCAUGUGAAGAACUGACAAUUGUCCUAUCCCUGCACAGCGUAUUUCUGUUUGCCUCAACACUCAGAUCACUGAAUCCCAAAUGUAUGCAGUUGCCAUUUCUGACUGAGAGAGGCAAUUUUUUCUUCUGUUGA
rnacentral:lncRNA from 1 species